rnacentral:rRNA from 1 species
AGCGAACGCUGGCGGCAGGCCUAACACAUGCAAGUCGAACGAACUCUUCGGAGUUAGUGGCGGACGGGUGAGUAACACGUGGGAACGUGCCUUUAGGUUCGGAAUAACUCAGGGAAACUUGUGCUAAUACCGAAUGUGCCCUUCGGGGGAAAGAUUUAUCGCUUUUAGAUUGGCGCGCGUCUGAUUAGCUUGUUGGGGAGGUAAAGGCUAACCAAGGCGACGAUCGGUAGCUGGUCUGGGAGGAUGAUCAGCCACAUUGGGAUUGAGAUACGGCCCAAACCCCAACGCCAGGCGGAGGUGGGGAAGGGGAAACUAGGGAAGGGGGCCAAAGGCAGCAACGCCCCGGCCGGGAUAACGGCGAUGGGGUUGGAAUUCGAAAUUGCUUUCGACGGGGCGGGAAUGACGGUAACCGGUAAAGAAGCCCCGGCUAACUACGUG